rnacentral:tRNA from 1 species
AUAGAAAUAGUUUAAUUUAAAAUAUUGAUUUGUGGAAUCAAAGAUUUAUUGAUAAUUUUUAUU